UACGUAGGGUGCGAGCGUUACUCGGAAUUACUGGGCGUAAAGGGUGCGCAGGCGGUUAUAUAAGACAGAUGUGAAAUCCCCGGGCUCAACCUGGGAACUGCGUUUGUGACUGUAUGACUAGAGUACGGUAGAGAGGGGUGGAAUUCCUGGUGUAGCAGUGAAAUGCGUAGAUAUCAGGAGGAACAUCGAUGGCGAAGGCAGCCCCUUGGACCUGUACUGACGCUCAUGCACGAAAGCGUGGGGAGCAAACAGG
rnacentral:rRNA from 1 species